rnacentral:lncRNA from 1 species
UUUCUCAUGAAGUUCCAUUUUUUACUUAUAUAUAUUUUUGUAUGCAUGGGCAGUUGGGCACCAGGGUAUAGGUCAAGUAGGGCUGUUAGGACUGGGAGCUGACCCAGUGUUCCAGCAGACAGAUGCAGGCCACAGUCGUGUCGACCGAGGUUCUUUAGGAAGUUUGUUGAAGCCAUCAGUGAACGUCUUAGAUGAUGAAACACUCCUGAGUGCCAACCUGAUCAGAUGGCAGUGCCACUCUGCAGGUGCCCUGUUGGUAUGGAUUUUUCCUGUUGGAGAUUCCAAGUGACAGCGUGAGUCCAGCGUACACAGCCAUUGGUUCCUCCACAGUCCUGAUUGAUCCUGUACCUUGGAGUAAGAAUCAACGAGGAAGGAUCUGAAUCUUUCCCUGCGAAGACAGCCCUGAAGAACUCCUGCAGUGUCAGGGUGGCAAUUUCCAAGAAGCAGUCUGGGACCUGCAGCCCAAAGACACCCCCAAGGAAAGGAAGAAAUGAGGCUGGAAGUGCUGGCACCAUAGAGAGCCCAUUGGCUAGUGCUGCCCCGCUGCCCUGGGUUCUGCAGCCCAAGACUGCCCUGUUCCCUAGUGAAACACAGACCUUAAGUGACCAUCCAGAGAGACAGUCUGGGGAGCGGGUAUUAGAGUCUUUCAGGACUUGUCGGUCCUACCAGCUGGGUAUGUUUUAAUGACUGUGUGGGAAAUGAGAGGUCUGAGCUUUCCCUUCGACCUGUUGUGAGAAAGGCUGUCCUCAAGCUUAUGGCUGCCAUCUGCCAGCCAGUCUGAGAAUACACAUCUUAGAUCUCAUGGGACCCAGCGCACGUCUCACCUCAAAGUCAUUCCCCUUGUUAUAGUGUGUGUUGAGAACUCGAAAAAGCUCCGAGUCUCGUAGGACAGCCAGCACUUGGGCGUUUGUGAUACCGUCUGAAAGCGCUUGCCGGGCGUACUUUUCCAUCUGGAUGUAAUAAAAUUCACGGAAGUUGCUGAACCACUUGAUCAUCUGGGAGGUGAUGCAGCGGUUGAACUGUGUGAACAAAUGGUCCAUCAAGUCAGACAUUGGUGCAAGGUGCUCAGAGUCAGAACUGUCAGUGUCCACUUCAGUGUGAGAUUAAUGUGAAUUGGCUCAAGCACUAACCAUUUUUCCUUC